rnacentral:rRNA from 1 species
GACGUAGGGCGCGAGCGUUGUCCGGAAUUAUUGGGCGUAAAGAGCUCGUAGGCGGUCUGUCGCGUCUGCUGUGAAAACUCAGGGCUUAACCCUGAGCUUGCAGUGGGUACGGGCAGACUAGAGUGCGGUAGGGGAGACUGGAAUUCCUGGUGUAGCGGUGAAAUGCGUAGAUAUCUGGAGGAACACCGGUGGCGAAGGCGGCGUUCUGGACUGCAACUGACACUGAGGAACGAAAGCCAGGGGAGCAAACGGG